CGCUCGUGUGUUUGUAGAGUCACGUGGUGAUAUUAUUGGUGAACGACUUAAAGCCCCCUUCAUCGAUAUGUACAAAGUGCGAGUGUGAUGUAUAUACGACUACUAUAUGAGACAUUGCGUGGGUGUGAGUAGGAACACUAGAGAAUAGUAUAGUUAAUUCAAUCCACGAAGACGCGCCCCAUUUCAUCAGUGUUGAGUCGACCACGGCUCUGUAUACACGGCUAAAUUCACGUUGCCCCGGAUUUUGACCCAUCGGGAAACUUGCUCCACUUAAAUGUUUUGUUCCCUAAACUUUAUUUUACUUUACUAACAUUAUUUUUAAAAUGCCUAGAAAAACGGAUCGUACUGUUCUUAAAAGCCAGGCAAGAGAUAUAAUCGGGAAAGUAUAUGAUUUCAUGAAAAAAGAAGCAAAUAAUAAUUACGCAGAAAAAUUAACCGAUGCACGUUGGAGAACCGCACAGGCUGCUGGAGUGUCUGAAAGCACAGUUACUAGAAUUUUACGUGAAAGAAAGGUGCAUGUAAAGUCGGGUACGGUGCAGACAAACAAGACAAACACUGAAGAAACGAAUGAAGCGAUUUCAUCGCAUACAAAUGACGCAAGCACAAGUACUACAUAGUUAAUAAUUCUGAAUUAAAUGAUGAUACAGACGUC